GAAUCAGUGCUACUUUAGGCACGAUUUUUUUUAUUUUCUUAGUUUUACAAAAUUUUAAAUUUUUUUAUAACUUCAAUUUUCCUCCUUCACCCGCUGCUUUCGCCCCCAUCCAAACUUGUUCGGUCGAGUGUACCGGCAGGUUAGCUUGUUGAGCAGUAUAGUGCUCUCACCGCCGUUUCCCACCAAAUUUGCUGGGUCUAGCCGACUACAGGACUAUCAUCAGCAACGGUAUCCACUGGCCGUCGCGUUUCGUCACGAGUUUAGCGCUACGCGUGACGAAAGUAGCCGCCCUAAGCUUCCCAUGGUCACCCCCACCCCUUCUCGGAGGUGUGCUGAAGUUUGCGGUCUCUAACACGUUUUGGUGUCCUUUUUUCAAGCUCCGCCGCACGUCCCGACGCCGGGCCGGCGAAGCCUCCCAGGGCAGGUCAUUCACCGGACAUACCCCCCACCCCUCCCUGGUCCACAGCGGUCAUCGGCCAGCCGCGCCAGUGACCAAUCUCAAGGCCAAAAUCCCCCCCCCCCACUUGCAAAAUGGCGGCCACCAAGUGCCACGAUGGUCUCUGCGAGACUCCGAUCUGCAUGCCCACGCCAUCUAGCGGCGAAAGGACGAACCAGCUAUCCCCUAUCCCCACCAGGAGAAACAGUCGACCUCACACUUAGUCGAUAGGUCGCCAGAGCCCUUUUUUUUCUUUCGGAGCCCUUCGGAGCACUUCGGGUUUCCCGAUCCCCUCCUCCAGAGGAACAGACGACCGAACUAAAGUUUAAGUUAGCGUCCCGGCGCCAUUUUCAGGGAUUUUGAGGGCAGCUCUCGUCCAGCGCGCAUCUUUGCAACAGGUCGCAGUAACGACCAGCAGCUAUCGUGAUCCGCUUUCGGCGAUAAUGUAGUUGCUUCUGAGCCAGGCCAUGUCGCCUAGAUUUUUUUUAGUUUUUCUUAGUAGCUGCCCAAAUAGCUAAGUUUAACUUUAGUUUUUUUUUUGGUUUUCGCCAUAACUAUUUCUUCUAUGGCUACCGCGAGCUCCCGUGCCGCGCAUCCCCGGAUCACCCCCAGGGACAGCCACUAUCUACUUCACCCUGCCAGCUAAGGCAGGGUUCCAGAAUCCCAGAGGGUUCCAGAAUCCCAGAGUACUUCAAGGACCCCAGACCAGUUCAAGAUGGCGGCCCAGUUCCGGCGCCACAUUUUGCACCUCAACAUGUAACUCGUGAGCCUCUAUAACGGAGUCUCCCUCCAUCUUACGGCACCCCUCAAAAAGAAGUGAAGAACAGUUUAUAACUCCGCCAGUUUUAGGACGUUAUCCAUAUUAUUAUAAAAUAUUGUAUUUUAAACACAUAUAUUUGUUUUAUGAGCCUGCGAGCUCAAUGUUCCUAAACAGUUGAACUUAGCAUAGUAUGAAAUUGUGUUCCCCCCCCCCGGCCCCUCUUUCUCCUUUUUUUAUUCGUUAGUUACUCAAUGUAAUGUAUCAAAAAUAAGAAUCUGACAUUGUUAGCAGUUUUGUUUGUAAUGGCUGUAAUGCCGCAAGAUAUUUUCUAAUGUAAGAAACCUAUCAAUGAAAAGAUACUAAACUACUAAUCAACAGUAAAAGCCUCUAAUGAAACCAAA